UUGUGUUCUGGAACUAUCUUGUUAGCAGGAUUAGUGGGAGAAAGAAAGCCUCAAAGUACUGUUGCUAUAACACAGUGCUGGGGAGCCCCAGCAAGACUCUUUGGAGAACCAGGAGAGAAGGACGAGGACGGCAGAGUUGGCAUGCCUGCUCACCUUCCAAUAUCACUUCAUGGAAAGAAGUUUAAAAAUAAUUAUAGGCUCAUCAAAUGUGGCUUUGUACCAGUGAGAGGGAAGAUAUUGGAUGAGGGGAGAAUGGACAUGAGAGAAGAGAGAAGGCCCCUGUUUCCACUUUAAGAGAGGACUUUACCACUAUGCCAGGCAAAGGUGGUGGAUCAAAGUAGAGGAAGCACAGAGUACAGAUUUCCACAUGACCAUGAUGAAAUAUUGGCUGAAGCAAUAAAGCAAUUUGAAGUUAACC
rnacentral:lncRNA from 1 species